rnacentral:rRNA from 1 species
ACUCCUACGGGAGGCAGCAGUAGGGAAUUUUCCACAAUGGACGAAAGUCUGAUGGAGCAACGCCGCGUGUGCGAAGAAGGCCUUCGGGUUGUAAAGCACUGUUGUAAGGGAAGAACAGGUGUGAGAGGAAAUGCUCAUGCUGUGACGGUACCUUACCAGAAAGCCACGGCUAACUACGUGCCAGCAGCCGCGGUAAU